ensembl:lncRNA
CAGCGCUCCGUGGAGAGUGCGAGGGCCUGUUCAGGAGGAGGCAGAGGCAGCCUUCAGAGCCAGGUUUUCCUCCCUCCACGGGUGGAUGGAGAGGGUAGGGCAGAUGCCCCAGGUGGGGUAGGCAGUGGCCAUUUUCAUCCCAUGGCAUCCAUGUGGUCAGCCCUGUGGCCUGAUGGGAGGCCAGACCAGAAGAAUGGGGACCUCAGUGUCUGCCUCUAUCUCCCCAAAAAGCUCCUGUGGUCAUUCCGACUCAAUUUGGCUAAUUUGGUUGUUGGCAGAGGGACAGGACAGCUGGCUCAGGACCUGCUGAUUAUAGCUGCUCGAGUAUUUGAACAGAGGUAUUGAGUCCCUCAUGUCAUGGUUUUUUCUUGCAGAUAAACUAACCGUUUAACCUUUGUUCUGAGCGCCGGCGGACCCGCUGUUAAUUGCCCUGGCCCCCUCUGUCUCCACCAACCUGCCCCCCAGGGGGGAGGUCACAUGAGGACCCCCCCAACUCUUACCUUUGAUGAAAGUGUUCAGCGGAUCUGGUCCUGUUGCGUCAGCCGGAAGGUGGCUUCUUUCUAAAAAGUUAUUAGAUAAAUUCAUUUCUUUAAUGAUGGAAGUCCAGGCUUGGGUGCGUGCGCGCAUCGUCCGCAGUAGCAAUCAAUCGGACACACCCGCAGCCUUCCCCUGUUUUUCCCACAGGACUCCAUCCCAAGGUGCCUUUUCCCACGUUGCUGCAUUCGGGUGCCCCCGUGAUAUUUCUUUGUACUGUGUGCCAGGCACUGUUUUAGUUCUUUUAAUCCUUAUAUCAACAUGUGUGUUACUUUUAUUACCUCAUUUUUCAGAAGGGGAAGCUAAGGCCCAGGGACAAACCUCAAACCACUCUUGGGUCCGACCUCACAUCUCUAAUGGGGACUGACCAAGGCGGCCCCUCCUUCAGGCCUCAGGGCCAGCAGGUGAACCCUGGUCCUCAUGGUCCUCCAGCCUUUGCCCUCUGACUCCUGAGCUCUGGACAAGCCCCCGCUUCCUGCCAGAGCCUCAUUUUGCUUCUCCAGCAAAUGCACAUAGGAAUUCCUCUGAGUCUGGGGCCUGGGCCUCAGGUGCAACCGCAAGUGGAUCUCUUAGCUCCCUGAGCUCCGGCUCCACCAGCAAUUGUGAGUGGCAUCUUCCCAGGUGGUGGUCUGUCCUUCACCUGGGACCCCUGUCGUGAGGACUUCAGUAAUAUUUUGUCUUGCCCCUGGUGUCAAUCUGCACUUGCCCUUCCCUCGUUUAGCACACAGUAGGGCUGUUGGCAGCAGGUGAGGCCUGAGGCAACAGCUCGGUGGCCAACAGCCCCGUGAGCACUUUCUCUUCUCCCCUCCCAGGUGGCGUGGAGGUGCAUCGGCGGCUUCCUACCGGGAAGGAAGCAGAUGCCUGGCCCAGGAUCAAAUCAAAGGUCUGGAAAAUGAUCUUUUUUUUCCCCUGAUUUGUAAAUUCGACAAUUUGUAAAUGUGUAGACUCCUCAGAAUGGAACUAACUUGAGCCCUUCGUUCCCCAGCCGAGGCUCACUGCCCCCCGGAUGGGCAGUGAGUCGGUGGGUUCCUGAGGCCAGGGAGCAGCCCAGCCCUGCCCCUCGGGAUGACACACCUUCCCAGAGGGGUGUGGCGCCCUCCCAGGCUGACCUCCCAGCAGACCAGGUAGCCUUCCGGAGGAGCGGAUGUCUUCACGUUGAAUUACCCCAGCCCGGAGGUGAGUGCAGUGUCCCUGGCUCCCGUGUUGCCUGCUUCUGAUGUUCCCUAACUGAAACCUGCCUCAUGUUCCUCCCUGGGCCGAUGGGCAGUUUCAGAGGACAGAGCUGUCUGCUCUGCGGCGCUGGUUGGCGUGUUCCAAACACUGUCCAGAUUCUUGCCUCUGCUUUCAAGGGGCGCUGGGACUCUAGAAACUGAGAGGACUUUGAGAAGUUAGUGGCUUGUCCCAGAUCGGCUAGGAGGUGGGACCCGGGAUUCCAACCCAGAAUGAAGGCCCCAGAGUCGGUCUAAUAAUACUCUGUUGGUGAUGAUCUUGGCUGUGACCUCUGCGGGAAAUGAGCCAUGGACCAAGCAGUGUGAGUGAUGGAUGAAUGCUCUAGAGCUGAUUAGCCAUUUUAUAAUGAUGAAUGGCUUCCCUCUGUGGGUAAGGAGCAUGGAGGCUGAUAUUCAAUAUACCCAAUCUGAUUUAUUCGUUAUCCAGUGAUGAAGAUCUUGGCUGUCACUUCUGUGGAUAAGGAGCAGAGGAACUCAUGUAAGGAACAAAGUUCGUGUUCCUGGUGUGCAGUGCGUUUUCCCCAAGUGAACACCACAGAUGAUUUAGUCAUUCUCUGAUGCUAAAGCUCCUGGCUUUUACAAAACCUGUGGAAUGACCAUGGGACAGUGGACUUACUCAUUUUCUAAGUGGGUAAAGAACACAGAGACAAACAAGAACAAGACAGAGCUGAUCUAAUCAUCCUGUAACUGUGUAGGCCCUGGCUCUUACUUCUGGGACCAAGGAGCAUGAACACUGAUAGUGAACAUAAGACAGCCGAUUUCAUCAUUUAAUAAAGAAUUGUUAUCGUGAGCAAGGAGCAUAAAGACAAAUAUAAAGUGAAUGCACUCUACCAGAUUUGGUUGUCAUCUCGUGGUGAAGAUCUUGCCUUUUACCUCUUUGGGUAAAAAGAGGUCAAUUCAUUGUCCAUUGAUGGGGAUCUUGACUGUUACUUCUGUGAGUAAGGAACAAUGUAAGUAGCAAAGGUUCUCUUCUUGGUUUGUAUGGUUUGUUCACAUGAGCUCACUGAGGUAGUUCAAUAGAACAACAUCCAAUAACACCAACUAUGGACCAAUAGUGGGAAUGUGUUAUGGGCCAAGGAGUAGAAUUAACCCAUGUUAGCACAAAUGAGAUUCAUUUCUUAAAUUGAUGGAAGGCAUUUAAUUAAUUUUCAUAACCGUUUGCUAUUUCAUAUUAUUUCUGCACCACAGUUGAUUUAAGCAUUUCCAUAUUGGUAGAGAGCCAGGCUGUUUGCUAUUUAGAGGAAGCCCUUGGAAGGUGGAACAUAUUGUCUGUGUUCUAGAAGCGGGGUACCAUUGUGGUUUUUGGUUGUUUAUUAUACCAUGUUUAAAAUUGGAUAAAUUAAAUGAACAUGGCCCAAUCAUGGAUCGUUUUUAGGGAGGGCACUGUUAUGAAACCAGGUUUACACUGAGAUCUAGUGUAAAAGUUCUGGGAGAAAUCAGUCUAGAGACAGAUCAUAGUUAAAUCAAGGACCUUGUUCUCGGGAGUUUGUGAUUCAUGCGAAAGUGAAGAUAGAAAUGCAUGAAGAAGAGGAGUGCCAGGCCUGGACCAAUGAUGAGAUUGGAGGGUGUCUGAAUCAAAACUUUUGAUUAAAGCCAUCUGGAACUCUGAGGUCCAUUAUUAAAAAGUGUCCUCCUUUCUUCCUCUACGGAAAUGAGCUUAUCACAGAAGUUCAGAACUUUCAGGCAUCUUGACCUUGGGCAUACACAUUUCAUAAGUACGGAUUUAAUUUUUAUAAGUAAAUCAAGGCAUGAGUGAAUGAAGAAAUGUCAAAAUGGGUAAAUAUAAGGAAAGUUGUACAUUGGCCAAUGAUGAGGCAUGGGUUAUUAUUAAACAUUUCUGUAGCACUGAAUUCCAGUGAAAUAUAUUCAUAUAUCUCUUUUGGAAGGAGUGUAUAGACAGAUAUAUAUAAGACUCAAUUUUAUUGUUUGAUGUAGGUGGUUAUUUGCUGGUUGGUUGUUUUAGAGAAGGGAAAAUUAUGUAAAUAAAUAAUUUAUUAAGUAGUUAUUUAAUUGGAAAAAGAAUGAGCAUAGUUCAACUUGAGAAUAUGCCUUAUGAAAAGACUUAUUAUUAAUCUCCCUCUGUUCACUGCGUUUUAUUAAAAACAAGGAAAAGCAUUUGGUUUUUGAAUCUCUGUGGGCAAUGUAAUAGACAUAUCGAGACAGAGCAAUAUUAUUCGAGUUUCCUAAGGUUAGUUAAUUCCCAGUUAUUGAUAAAUUACUACGUGUGAAUAGAUUAUGUCCUAAUCACAGUCAGUAGUUAAAAACGGGACAAAACAUGGCCCUGUAAGAAGCAAGAAUAAUGAUUAAUCUUUGUCUGUACUACUGAUCCUCUCUUCCUAGUUUAGGUUUGGGCAUUUACACACACAAGGGGCAUUUCUAUUCUAGGUUGUUCAUGGCUUUACCAUUGUGUAUGUUUGUGUGUUAGUAUAUUUGAAUAUAUGAUCAAAUAUUCCAUGAGUCAUUUCAUAGACGAAUAAACAAAACAAUGAACGAUUGAGUUAACAUAUAAAUAGGGUCAAGCGUAGAUCUUGGUGAGGAUGUGCCAUGAAUGACAAAUUUAAAUUCACCCAUUUCUAUACGAAUUGAGUCCAUUAAAAAAAAGAGUAUUUAGGCUCUUGCCUACACGGGCAGGACUGUGUGGACAGAUAUGUAGAAUAUCAUAGUCCUUAUUUUUGAAUGAUGAACGUGGCAGUGUUCAUUGUUACUUAAAAUUAGCAGUCACAUCAGGAAAUAAAGGGGGCUGUUCUUGGGUCAGUGAUGAAAGUGAGACUUGAAUCAACUUCAUGAUUAACCUAAUACCACACAACUAAUGUCCUUUAAAUCAAGCUAAACCUGGACUCUUCCUUCUUCUAAAUGUUGGCAUUGGACUCCACAGAAGGAAGCCCAUGGCUGAUUCAGUCAGGCUCUGCUGCUGAAGAUCUCACCUGUUACCUUUGUGGAGAAUGGGCGCACCGUGAUUCAGUUAAGGAGUGUAGAAUCUUAUGGUGGGCAGUCGAGCUGAUUGAAGCAUCUUCCGUGAUCGGAAGCUCCAUAUGUAGGAGAAUGGAGAUGAGUAAUGGGUGCACUGGAGGUGGUUUAAGGAUUCUUCUGUGGUGACAAGAUGUCUGGUUGUCUCUCUGUGUUUGGCACAUAGAAACAAAUAAUGAACACAUCGAAGCUGAUUUAAGAAUUAUGCCUUGGUCAACAAUCUCUAUAUUUGUCUGUAGGAGCAUGGAAACCAACAUGGAUGCUCUCGAGUGGGUUUAAGCAUCUUCUAUGAUCACAUGCUCGACAGUUGCCUCUGUGUAAUGAGUAUAGAGACCAGUAAUAGACACCUGAACUUAUUUAAGCGUUUGGCCAUGAUCAGGAGCUCCAUCGAUGCCCCCGUGCACGAGCGUGGAGACCAAUAAUGGAGGCGAGAGCUUCUGUCACGAUCAAGAUCUUCGUGUUGCCUCUGUUGGAAAGAGACCAAGGGACAUACUGGAGCUGAUGGAAGAAUUCUUUCACUGCUGCACCCUCUUUGUUGGCUCUGUGUGUUAGGUGCAUGGAGCACAACAAAGAAAACACCUGAAAUGGUUUAAGCAUCUGCCCUGUUCAGGAGCCCCAAAGUAGCCUCUCUCUGUAGGAACAUUUAGUCCAGUAAUGGACACACUCAAGAUGAUUUAACUAUUUUUAUGGUCCCGAGAUCUGUGGUUUCCUCUGUGUGUUAAGAGCGUAGAGACUAAUAACGAGCUGAUUUAAGCAUCUUUUGUGGUCCCCAGCUCUGUGGUUGCAUCCGUGUGUUAGGAGCAUAGAGACCAAUAAUGGACAUGCUCCAGCUGAUUUAAGGAUUCUUCCAUGCUCACACGUUCUAUGGAUGCAUCUGUGUGUUACAGUGUGGGGAACAAUGUUCUGCCGAUGCUGCCUGUUGGGAAACAACGUUUUGAGAAUCGCUGAUAAUAGGCAGAUCUAUGUGACGUUAGUUAAUGUCUUUGCUCUGCAUCAGUGAAUGGAUGUACCUGAACUGAUUGAAGCAUUCUGAAAAGACCAAGAGCUCUAGGCCGCCGCUGUGUUUAGGAAUGUAUAUUUAAAGUUUUCCCUGAACAUUCCUUAAUUGAUAAAGAUAUAAGCUAUUUUCAUGAUGAGGAAAAAGCACUUAGGAGAUGGGGCGUGCUCACUGCUAAUCCAGCUUCUACCGUGAUCUCAGGAUCAGAAGCUUCUGGUUGCCACUAUGUGUGGGGACCCGUAGAAGAUGAAGAAUAAAAGGGAAAACCUGGACCAGUGGUGAUGGCCGGUGCAUGUGAGUCAUACACAGACAGGUGUUGGAGCUGAUUUUAGCUUCUGCCAUGAUCAAGAUUGUCAUGUUGCCUGUGUGUUAGGAAAAAGAUUAAGAAUGGACACACUUGAGGUGACUUAAGCAUCUUCCACGAUCUUGAGCUCUGUGGUCGCAUCAUGCAUUAGGAAUGUGGAACCGAUAAUGGAUGCCCUUGAGCUGAUUUAAGCAUCUUCCAUGGUCAGGAGUUCUGUGGUUGCACCUGUGUGUUAGGAGCAUGGAAAACAAUAAUGGAUAUAUUCCAGCUGAUUUAAGCGUCCUCCCUGGUCAGGAGCUCUGUCGUUGCAUCUCUGUUUGAGCAGCAAGGAGACCAACACUGGGUGCCGUCAAGGUGAUUUAAGGAUUCGUCUGUGGUCACAAGGUCUCGUUGCAUUCGUGUGUUAGGAGACCAUGUGAGUAAAAGUCAAAAUUUUGGUAUUAGUUCAAUACUUUGUUUAAGGGAUUGUUGAAAACUGUGAAAUAUAAUCCAUGAAUCCAAAUAGCCCACUGAGAAA